UUUAAGUGUAACCAUAAAUUUUCGUACCUAAUUUUGAUCGUUCGUCUUAUUUAAAAUAUUUUAUAAUUAGUACUUUUAGUGUUAUGAAAUGAUAAAGCAUGAAUAGUGCUUCAUGUAUGACUUAUAUUUUUAAAUAUUUUUAAACUUUUUUAAAUAAGACGGACGAUCAAAAUUUACGAAAAAUCAUGGUUGUACUUAAA
rfam:Oryza glaberrima chromosome 8 Oglab08_0007_15, whole genome shotgun sequence.